rnacentral:rRNA from 1 species
UACAGAGGGUGCGAGCGUUAAUCGGAAUUACUGGGCGUAAAGCGCACGUAGGCGGCUUGGUAUGUCGGGUGUGAAAUCCCCGGGCUCAACCUGGGAACUGCAUCCGAAACUGCCUUGCUCGAGUAUGGGAGAGGGAAGUGGAAUUUCCGGUGUAGCGGUGAAAUGCGCAGAUAUCGGGAGGAACACCGGUGGCGAAGGCGGUUCUCUGGGCCUUACCUGACGCUGAGGAGCGAAAGCGUGGGGAGCGAACAGG